GACGAACGCUGGCGGCGUGCUUAACACAUGCAAGUCGAACGGAAAGGCCCUGCUUUUGUGGGGUGCUCGAGUGGCGAACGGGUGAGUAACACGUGAGUAACCUGCCCUUGACUUUGGGAUAACUUCAGGAAACUGGGGCUAAUACCGGAUAGGAGCUCCUGCUGCAUGGUGGGGGUUGGAAAGUUUCGGCGGUUGGGGAUGGACUCGCGGCUUAUCAGCUUGUUGGUGGGGUAGUGGCUUACCAAGGCUUUGACGGGUAGCCGGCCUGAGAGGGUGACCGGCCACAUUGGGACUGAGGUACGGCCCAGACUCCUACGGGAGGCAGCAGUGGGGAAUAUUGCACAAUGGGCGGAAGGCUGAUGCAGCAACGCCGCGUGCGGGAUGACGGCCUUCGGGGUGUAAACCGCUUUCGCCUGUGACGAAGCGUGAGUGACGGUAAUGGGUAAAGAAGCACCGGCUAACUACGUG
rnacentral:rRNA from 1 species